AUUCUUCGAUAUCAUUUCCCACAAUGUAUCUUAUUUCUUUCUCAGUCUUAAUUUAUACCCCAAAAUCCUAUCUUUGGUUUUUCACAAAGAAAUCUAUUUUUCACAAAUAUACAAACCUUGUUAUUCUAUUUUAGCUGCUCUUCACAUUGAGAAGCUAUCUUUUUGGUGUGUUUGCUUAGCUUCAAUCCACAUUGUCUUUGUUCCUAAGAAGAUGGAAGAAAUUCCUGGUAAUUGCAAUUAUUGGAACAGUCACCUGACAGGCAGGACAUGGUAUUUUGAUGGGUUGGCUGACUUGUUGGAACAAAUGUAGACGUGAUAAUGUAGAAAAUAACAAAGUAAUUCCUCAAUUAUUGCGUUUUUGAAGGUACUCAAAUCCCUACACUCAAUCUUGCAAUGCUUGAGGGUGUGUUUCUUUUUAAUGCUUUUCUAAUUCUUUGAGAAAUCAUUAUACUAAACAUGUAGAGUGUUUGAUAUUUUGGAUAAACAUAUCAUCUCUCUUGAUGCAUGUCUUCUAGGUUUUCGCCUAUUAAUCAAAGUGAAGAAAAUUGGUUGAAAUUAAGGAAGCUCUCUAGCAUAAAAAACUGAUUAGGUGAGUUUGCCAAAUGCUGCAAGUUGGGCUUAGGAUCCAAAUACCAUUCUUAAGUGUAAUCUAUGUAAUCCAAGUAAUUACUCAUCUUAACUUCUGGUUUUGUGGCACUUAGUGCAUCACUUGAAGAAUUUUUUAUAAUUGCCAAAUGUAGUGUAGAAAAAGGAUCAUGGAUGUUGUCUAUAAGAUAUUCUAUCACCUGCAAAAUACUUAUAUGAAUUUUGAUAUGUAUAACUGUAAAAGAAUCUGAUUUAAUCCAUCUUGGGGAUUCCAAACCUA